GAUGAACGCUAGCGGCAGGCCUAACACAUGCAAGUCGAGGGGUAUCCCGCUUUCGGGCGGGAGAGACCGGCGCACGGGUGCGUAACGCGUAUGCAACCUACCCUGUACUGGGGGAUAGCCCGGAGAAAUUCGGAUUAACACCCCAUAGUACCAAUGAAUGGCAUCAUUUAUUAGUUAAGGGUUACGGUACAGGAUGGGCAUGCGUCCUAUUAGCUAGAUGGUAAGGUAACGGCUUACCAUGGCUACGAUAGGUAGGGGGCCUGAGAGGGUGGUCCCCCACACUGGUACUGAGACACGGACCAGACUCCUACGGGAGGCAGCAGUGAGGAAUAUUGGUCAAUGGGCGCAAGCCUGAACCAGCCAUGCCGCGUGCAGGAAGACGGUCCUAUGGAUUGUAAACUGCUUUUAUUUGGGAAUAAACCUCUUUACGUGUAGAGAGCUGAAGGUACCAAAUGAAUAAGCACCGGCUAACUCCGUGCCAGCCGCCGCGGUAA
rnacentral:rRNA from 1 species